GGACCAUAGUUCAAUGGUAGGGCAUCUGCUUUGCAUGCACCAAGCCCCAGGUUCAAUCCCCAGCAUCUCCA